GAUCUAACAAUACUAAAAGCAGGAUAUCAAGCCUUCUAAGCGCGUCCACGUAGGAUUGGAAAUUCAGACCAAUAGUAAAUAGCCAGCUGUCCCAUCUCCAAAAGCCUCCUUCUUUCUUCAGUUUUUAUCGCAGUAAAGUAUACAACUUCUGGCCUUUUCGCUUCCUCCUUCGUCUCAUCUCAUUCCGUCUCUUUAAUUGUUUCAUCUACGUUUUUAAUUCCCUUCUUUAUUGUAACUGUAUGUAUAUUGCAUCUUCCUGGAUCAUCUAUAAACCAUCAAAUUAAUUUUUUUUCCCAAGCAAAACUCUUAGAAUCACAAGCUCCGGAGAAGAGCUCCAAGAUCUCGCCCGUGAAUUUGUUCUCGGCUAAAGAUAGAUAAUGUAGGCUUUUGAGCGGCAGUGACGGGAUGUGUCAGACAACAAGGUUGCCGAAGAUGAUGGUGGCGAGAUUAAGUAUCUUUUCAUAUAUUUGGUUUGGUUUAUUGACUCUUUUUGACCUUUUGGAUUUAUGUUCAUAUUUUCUUUCAUCAAUUAUAUUGAUCCUACAUCUGCAAAGGUUACUUUCUCCGAACUACAUCUGCAUAGGUAUGUAAUCUUAGAAAACCUGUCUUGAUGCGUUGUUCUUGCCUUCAUUUUGUUAAACCAAUCAGCCAAAAAAAUCCUAAGAACACAUGGUAAAUAUCUUAUAUAUCUGAUUGUUUAAAUUAAUUUUUCUUACAUAAGUUUUACAGAAUUGUGCCCAAUUAGUUUUCGUUCAUGCCCUAUCAUGGGGAAGGCCAACGGCUGAGUCUCUCAAAAAGGUUCAUGAAAAUGGCUUUUUUGAGAUGAACAAACUGAUCAUUAAAGUGGAAGUAAAGAUAGUUCAAGCAUUUGAUGAAAGAGAUGUAAGUGGGAGGGAGAUGGUAGAUUCCAAUGGUUUCCAUGUUCUUUGCACUCAGUGUUCAUAUUGGAUAACUAUUACCUUUCAUGUGUUCACAUCCUUGAUACAGAUAGGUUUGUAUGGAAGAAAUUGGAAACUUCAGGGAAGCACCUCGAUCUGGUCACGUCAGUGUUGCCAGAGCUAGCCUUGAUCAAAGUGUGUUAACACGGAACUCUUAAGCCGGAAUUGGAAUCACUCAGUUGUUGUAUAUAGUUUUAUUGCAGGAAAGAGAGAAUAUCCCUUUGAGCAUAGGCUAGAUUGAUCAAUGAAAUUGAUUUUCAAGCCAUGGUUAGUGAGAACGUCGCUUUAGGUUGCACUAUAGAAACCAUCAUUGAUGGAAGGGUGCUACACGGUGUU